UAAAGGCGGUCCAACAAAAUAUUAGAGAGUGUGACCAUUUUUUGGUGGCGACUUUUUUUUUGGCCAGGCAGUGUAUAAUUUGAGUCGUGUUUUAUUCUCUAUGUCUUCCAAUCCAAACUAAAAAUAGAAUGUAGUACAACCGUUGGUGUCUUCUCACCUCACCUUCUCCCCACAAUAAGAGUAUACAUUUGGGUGUGAAAUAUAUACAUUGAUUACGACACAAUAUCUUGUAUGCUCAUGAUGAGUCAUUUUCUCAUCAAAAAAUAUUUGCAUAUUCUCGGAUCUCCAUGGAAACCAUUCGGUAGUGCUUCAAUGCUUCCUCAUGCAAAGCGCAGCCCAUUUACUCAAAGCUCCAUCUUGGAGAGGCAGUCCCCGGCUGAGCUCCCACCCCACAGAGCACCCCUCAACUUCGCCUCUCUGGCAGAUGUCCUCAGCCUCUUCUGACUCUUCUUCUGGUUUCCUCCCAACUAUUUCCUCCACAUUCUCACUCCUCUUCUUCUCACUAGCUGUUGACUCUGCCCAGAUCCUUGUUCUUCAGUUGUCAGAAAUGUAACAUUGUGUUGUGUUCUGGCUAUAUUGUUGCCACUGAUGUUUCACGAGAUGCACCUUCAAUCUGUUUCAGAAAACUGGUUGAUCAUUGGUUCCCAGUGAACCAUGAGCUAAUGAUUCAUACAUUGACCUGUUAGAGAAACUCAGGACUCACUUGGGAGCAAUUUAUCAAUUCAGGACAGAUUUAAAACAAAAUCUAAUAUAAAUUAAUAAAAAUAUGAUUGAUGUUAUGACAACUUCAAGACUUAUGCAUGUUAAGACUUAGACUAUGCUGUUUUGGAAGUUGAGACAAUUCAACAGAGACCUGUUUAAUACAUUUUGAUCAACAUGAUUAAAGCUAAUUAAAAUGGGGGGGGGAAGCAGAUGUAGCAAGUGUGUAAAACUGUUUAUAUUCCACCUCAAAUCCAUCCUCAUUACCUGUGUAUAUUUGUUUUUCUUAGUUUUUGAAUUGUAUUUUAUUUUGGCGGAGAAGCUUUUAUUUUCUUGUUUCCUGUCUCCUCGUCAUAUCCUGUGUGUUCGCGCAGCCCUCCUCAGUUCGCGCCAAGCUGCGCUGGGGAGAGGUAAGCGUACAAAGUUGUCUUCUGUUUGUCUGUUAAAGUAUUCAAAAUGUCCUUGAAAGUAUGUUUGCCGAACUCACAAGUUGUUAUAUGUUGUUCCCCAACUGUUUUAUGUUUAGCGCAGCACUGUACUGGGUACUUAAUUCCCACGUUAAUAACAUUUAUUGAGUUUACCGUGCCAAUGUGGUCAUUUUUGUUCUUUUGAUUGGUUAAGGUGUGUGUGGGAAAGCCAGAGCCCAAGAACUGGAGUGCUGAUACAUUUUUGUUUUAAACAGAAUAAAUCUGCCCUACUGCUGCAAUACACCCCGGUGUCCUCGUCUCCUGGUUCCCUUUGCCGAUUACACACAACGCAGAGUACAUGUACAACAGAUGAGUCGGAUGAGAGCGGCUACACAGAGAAGUGCACAAUCAGUUGCAUAAUGUACAAAAGCAUUUGCAACUAGCUCAAAGGUAUGAGAAACUACUUUUUUGAUGUGCAGAAGUGACACAAUAAUUUCAAGAUUGAAGUAGUUUUAAGAAUUUUAAUUCUGUUCUGAGAAAUGCACCCAAACUGAGAAAAACUGUUAAACUGUAAAAUAUUUAAUAUUUAAAUAUCCUUAACUUAAAACCCUUUAACUGUCAUGGACCCAGUGACUUUAAUGUAAAUAUUUUGGGGGUGACAGUCAAGAGAUUAAAGGAAAAUAUUAAAUAUUAGCUCUGACACCAAGCUUCCAAGUAUUACCAAAGUAAUGAAACAAAAGCUAAAGUGUUCUUCACGGUUUUAACUUGCAUGCACUAACAUUUCACACUCAAAGUAAUUCAAAGAAUUACUGAACCAAACUUGAAAAAGUUUCUUCUGUCAUUAACAAUAACUUUAAGGAUACGCAGACUAAAGUAGACCUGAAAUAAUAUUUGAAGCAUCUAAAUAUAUCUAUGCAGUCGUUCCUACAGAAACAUUAAUGGAAGUGUUGCGUCUGGGAAAAUUAGCAUUAAAUGUUCCAUAUAGCAAAAAUGUCUAGCUGCAAUGCAUGUACAUAAACAGUGUGGCUCAGAAAUUACAGGGAAACAUUUCAUCAGUUGGUUCAAGUUAGCUAAGUUCAGUUAAAACUGUGAAAGGGGCUCACCUGUGAUGAAGAAAUGUGUUGUCCUUUUCCUCCUCCUGAACGCGCAGAAAUAACAGAAACUUGAUUUCAACGGCUCUCUCAAUUCAGUAGCCGCAUCUUGAUAAGGACCAGGCCUACAUGGCUCUACGCACCAUGAGCUAGCACCUGCUAUUUAGCAGCUUUAGCUAGUGCACAAGGACUGUUGAUACUGUGGUGAGUUCAGGACACCACAGUAUCCUGAGCCAUGCGCAACUGCAGGAUCAGAGCUAAAAGAAUCUUGCUGCUGAUGCUGCUGGAUCAAGCAGAAAUACAAACUAGAGAACUCUGUGUUUACAUGACAAAUAACAGUAACUCUAUUAACUGUAAACCCUGCUGUUUAACACAAUAACAAAAUGAAAAAGUCUCUAGAUUAUUCUCAACUAAUAGCACAAUAUUUAAAACCAAGUGUGUGAUUUGUGAAACUUCAAUAAAAGUUGAUUUCACAAUUUUAUGUUUUUGGAUAACACUAGACCUGCUCUAAUUUCAAAACUAUGACACUUAUCUUCAAAGCUUGACUAGAUUAUUCUGCUCUAAUAGCAGAAUAUCUAAAACCAAGUGUGGGAUUUGUGAAACUUCAAUGAAGGGUGGUAUCACAUUUUUUAUGCAUCUGGAUCACACUAGAAUUACUCUUUAUUGAAGUUUAACAAAUCCCACACUUGGUUUUAAAUAUUCUGUUAUUAUAUUAUUAUAAUAUUAGUUGAGAAUAAUCUAGUCCAGGUUUGAAGAGUCUAGGUGAUAUAGUUUUUUAGCUAGAGUAAAUUAAAGAUGCUGAUGGUAGUGAAAAAUUAGGUGGAAUCGCCCUUUAGCCAUUUCCUAUAUUGGAAGCUGCAAUUUGAAACCAACUUCAGCUUCAUGCAAGCAGCAAGCCCUAACAUAGAGUUCUCUUAAUAUAUGACAAAUCUAUGGUUAGCAUAAAAUUAAAUAAUCACAAAUGCAUCACUUAAUAAAAGCCUCUCAUAAAUGAUGGUGGCGUCGGCUCUAGGAGUUUGCCUUGCAAUUGGUGGUUCGCCAGUUCGAUUCCUGGACUACAUUUGAGAUUUCAGUUUGACAUAUAAAAGGCAUUAUUAA